rnacentral:snoRNA from 1 species
UUCCAUGAUGAACAAGAGCUAUAUGCUCGAUAUAAUCCCAGCUCGUCGACAGCGGCCUCAUCUAAAUCUCACGUUAGAGGCCGUUAUGAGAGGAAGUCCAACCCUGAAUU